rnacentral:rRNA from 1 species
AGAGUUUGAUCAUGGCUCAGAUUGAACGCUGGCGGCAGGCCUAACACAUGCAAGUCGAGCGGUAACAUUUCUAGCUUGCUAGAAGAUGACGAGCGGCGGACGGGUGAGUAAUGCUUGGGAAUAUGCCUUAGGGUGGGGGACAACAGUUGGAAACGACUGCUAAUACCGCAUAACGUCUACGGACCAAAGGGGGCUUCGGCUCUCGCCCUUAGAUUAGCCCAAGUGGGAUUAGCUAGUUGGUGAGGUAAUGGCUCACCAAGGCGACGAUCCCUAGCUGGUUUGAGAGGAUGAUCAGCCACACUGGAACUGAGACACGGUCCAGACUCCUACGGGAGGCAGCAGUGGGGAAUAUUGCACAAUGGGCGCAAGCCUGAUGCAGCCAUGCCGCGUGUGUGAAGAAGGCCUUAGGGUUGUAAAGCACUUUCAGUAAGGAGGAAAGGUUAGUAGUUAAUA